GUCAGGCACUGUGAAACGUGCUCCACUUCAUUCAGACCUUGCAACCACCCUAUGGAAGGUGAUGUCAGUAUCCUGUUUCACAGAUGAGAAAACUGAGCUUCUGACCAGAUCUGCAGAUGGAAAAGCUCGCUUCUAGGCAUGCGAAUCGUCUUUUAGUAUGGGAUCAUAGACUCUUACAGCUGGAAGCCUUAGAAGCUCACUCCAUCACCUCCCCAAUGCAGGAAUCCCACCCAAAAUCUCCCUGAGUGUUCCGUUGCACAAACACCUCCAAUGAUGGCUACAUACUGACUUCUCAAGGAAUGUUCUUUCCACUGUUAAAAAAGAAAAAAAAAAAAACUGUCAAUGGAGGAAGUUAUCCUUCCAUUGAACUGAAGGUCAUCUCUUAGUAGCUUCCUCCUAUUGUUUUUAUUUUAUUCAUUAAAAAAAAGUUCAUUUCAACAUGCAACAUUUGGUGAUCCACUGGCCAUGUAGUAGACACUGUGGAGGACCCAAGGGAAACAGCCAUUGCCAUUGCCAUUGAAGAGCUUCUAAUGUGGCUAAAGAUAUAACAUGAAAGCUCCUAAAGACCUGCACAGCCAACGAAAAAAAUAAGAGUUAUCAGAAAACUGAGCCCUGUAGGAGCCGCACAGGAGGUACGAAAGUAAGUGCCAGAGGGACUCAACAGAGGAAGAGAAUCCAGUGUGGACUGAGUGGUCAGGAAGACCUGCCAGAGGGGGACUUUUGGGGGAUCCUUAACAGAAGAGUAUCAUUUGACCAGGUAGGGGAAAGGAGAUCAUCCAGGCCUGGGGAAACAGUAGGAGCAACGUUCAGCGACAAGACAGCACAGAGGCAGUACAGAAUUUCAGUACUUCAGUACAGUACUUCAGAAUGACUGUGUGAGGCUAAGGAUCGGACCCAAAUUUCUCUCCGGAUUUAUG